rnacentral:rRNA from 1 species
GAAUUGUUCGCAAUGGGCGAAAGCCUGACGACGCAACGCCGCGUGGAGGAUGAAGACCUUCGGGUCGUAAACUCCUUUCGACCGAGAUGAAUACCUGCCGACCUAAUACGUCGGCAGGCUGACAGUAACGAGGGAAGAACCCCCGUCCAACUCCGUGCCCGCAGCCGCGGUAAUACGGGGGGGGCAAGCGUUGUUCGGAAUUACUGGGCGUAAAGGGUUCGUAGGUGGCCAACUAAGUCAGACGUGAAAUCCCUCGGCUCAACCGGGGAACCGCGUCUGAUACUGGUUGGCUUGAGUGCAGGAGAGGAACGCGGAAUUCCAGGUGUAGCGGUGAAAUGCGUAGAUAUCUGGAGGAACACCGGUGGCGAAGGCGGCGUUCUGGACUGCAACUGACACUGAGGAACGAAAGCCAGGGGAGCAAACGGG